rnacentral:rRNA from 1 species
GACGAACGCUGGCGGCGUGGAUUAGGCAUGCAAGUCGAACGGUAUCAUCCUUUCGGGGGUGAGAGAGUGGCGAACUGGUGAGUAACACGUAGGUUAUCUACCCUCAAGACGGGGACAACCCAGGGAAACUUGGGCUAAUACCGGAUGUGAGCAACUUUUAGUUGUUUGAAAGGUGGCGUAAGCUGUCGCUUGGGGAUGAGCCUGCGUCCUAUUAGUUAGUUGGUGAGGUAACGGCUCACCUAGGCAAUGAUAGGUAGGCGGCCUUAACGGGUGGUCGCCCACACUGGGAUUGAGAUACGGCCCAGACUCCUACGGGAGCAGCAGUCGAGAAUAGUCUACAAUGGUCGGAAGACUGAUAGUGCGACGCCGCGUGAACGAUGAAUCCCUUCGGGGUGUAAAGUUCUUUUAUAUGUGAGCAGUGCUUCUUAUAUUAAACAGUAUGGGGAAGAGAUAUUAGCAUAUGAAUAAGCAACGGCUAACUCCGUGCCCAGCAGCCGCGGU